rnacentral:rRNA from 1 species
UACAGAGGGGGCAAGCGUUGUUCGGAAUUACUGGGCGUAAAGGGCGCGUAGGCGGCCUGCUAAGUCGAACGUGAAAUCCCCGGGCUCAACCCGGGAACUGCGUCCGAUACUGGAUGGCUUGAAUCCGGGAGAGGGAUGCGGAAUUCCAGGUGUAGCGGUGAAAUGCGUAGAUAUCUGGAGGAACACCGGUGGCGAAGGCGGCAUCCUGGACCGGCAUUGACGCUAAAGCGCGAAAGCCAGGGGAGCAAACGGG